rnacentral:rRNA from 1 species
GGCGGCGUGCCUAACACAUGCAAGUCGAGCGGUAACAGGUGUAGCAAUACAUGCUGACGAGCGGCGAACGGGUGAGUAAUGCUUUGGAAUCUUCCCAGUAGUGGGGAAUAACCAGUCGAAAGAUUGGCUAAUACCGCAUACGUCUGAAAAGGGAAAGCGGGGGCUCGUAAGACCUCGCGCUAUUGGAUGAGCCAAAGUCGGAUUAGCUAGUUGGUGGGGUAAUGGCCUACCAAGGCGACAAUCCGUAGCUGGUCUGAGAGGACGACCAGCCACACCGGAACUGAGACACGGUCCGGACUCCUACGGGAGGCAGCAGUGGGGAAUAUUGGACAAUGGGGGAAACCCUGAUCCAGCGACGCCGCGUGUGUGAAGAAGGCCUGCGGGUUGUAAAGCACUUUUAGUGGGGACAAAAAGCUACGGAUUAAUACUCUGUGGUCUUGAUUUAACCCAAAGAAAAAGCACCGGCUAACUCUGUGCCAGCAGCCGCGGUAAUACAGAGGGUGCGAGCGUUAAUCGGAAUUACUGGGCGUAAAGCGCGCGUA